rnacentral:rRNA from 1 species
AGUGCGGUCGCAAGAUUAAAACUCAAAGGAAUUGACGGGGACCCGCACAAGCGGUGGAUGAUGUGGAUUAAUUCGAUGCAACGCGAAAAACCUUACCUACCCUUGACAUGGUCGGAAUCCCGCUGAGAGGUGGGAGUGCUCGAAAGAGAACCGGCGCACAGGUGCUGCAUGGCUGUCGUCAGCUCGUGUCGUGAGAUGUUGGGUUAAGUCCCGCAACGAGCGCAACCCUUGUCCUUAGUUGCUACGCAGGAGCACUCUAAGGAGACUGCCGGUGACAAACCGGAGGAAGGUGGGGAUGACGUCAAGUCCUCAUGGCCCUUAUGGGUAGGGCUUCACACGUCAUACAAUGGUCGGAACAGAGGGUUGCCAACCCGCGAGGGGGAGCUAAUCCCAGAAAACCGAUCGUAGUCCGGAUUGCACUCUGCAACUCGAGUGCAUGAUGCUGGUAUCGCUAGUAAUCGCGGAUCACCAUGGCGCGGGGAAUACGUUCCCGGGUCUUGCACACACUGCCC